CCUUUUUAGAAAGAGACAAAGUCUGUGUCGGUGUACAUGCUGGCCCUGAUGGUGUACAUGCUGGCCCUGACGUCCCAGGCUGAGACACUACUCUAUCACUUGGAAGGUAGAUGCAAGAGGACCAAGAAUUCAAGGCCAGCUACAUGGUGUAUCUGAGCCCUGAGGUCAACUUAAGAGAUUUUUCUUCAAGACCCAGCCACCAUGUUUUGUAAAGCGGUGUCUCUCACUGGCCUGGAACCCUUCCAGAUGCCUAGGGUCCUUUCUGCCUCCACUUACCAAGCACUUGGAAUACACUGAACUCCGGCCAUCAUGCAUGACGAGCAGCAAGCACAUGACUACCUGAGCUAUUUCCCCAG